AUGGGGGGCUGCCACCCCCUCUUUUUAGAGGCAGCAAAGAGAAGUCUUGUAUUGAUCUUCUCAAAGACUUCCCCCAGUGGCCCUUCUGGAACUUGCCCAGGCUGCGCAGCCUCUAGUUUAGGUGCGGGCUCUCCUCCGGGCUGUUCAAAGUCCCUAAAGAUAGACUCCCCGCUUAUGCCCGGGGAAUUUCUUUCGAGCGCACCAGGAAGCCGCUGCCCGACUCCCUGA